GACCCCCGAGCCCACUGCCUCAUCGCGCCAAGCAGACGUCGCCGAGAGGCGUGAUAUUAUGGAUGCCAAGUGAGUUUGGAAAUAAACAGGGGCGAUGGUGAGAUGUAGAUGUUCGCAGGAAGCUUGUAACUUAACCCCCUGCAGGACACUGUGCUAUAGGCUACUAAUGCAGCACCGCUACAUCAGAAACUGCAGAACCGCCAGGGGCCACAUCGGUGGUUUUCAUGGAGUGUAAUUAACAGGUACUGGGAAAAAAAUUAUACAGACACUUCUACAUUCAUCACGCUAUACAGAUAUAUUACAGAAGGACUGCGUGCACAGUGUGUCUGUACCAAAUAAACGCGAGCAGAAUACAAAACUUUAUAAGUAAAUGUAAUUAUUAUAUAUAUUAAGUACAGACUAACCUCUUUAACUGGCAAUAUGCACACUUAAACACAUAACAGAUUUACGCCGUCGUAUAAUUGACUGAAACCUUCACAUUUGUAGGAGGUCAUGUUCCAUGCCUGUGAUAAUCUUUUGUAGUUUUAUGUACGGAAAAACAAUGGCAAUGGAAGAAUGCCAGCUGUAUUUUUAUUUAAUUGACCUGGCUUACAGAAAGGAAAAUUCUAGUUAAAUGAGUUAUUUUUGUAAAACAGCAACAGCAGCGAGACAGAUAGUGGCCAUGAUUAAUAAACAGAAUUACUACAGUGUCCCACUAAUAAAGGCUGCCGUUCACUGACUGACUCCUAUCUAGAACCAUUACACUGCCAUCCGAUCAAAUUAAAAAGGGAAACCAACAGAGAUGAUGAUAUAAAAUGUAGUGCAUCUGUGGCUGUCUUCUAAGAUAUGGGGGGUUUGUAGAUCAUGGUCAGUGUUGGGAAAUGACGUGAGUUAUUCAGACAAGAAGAAAUAGAAGAUAAUAUGGAAGAUGCUUUCAUCCUAAAAACACCAAAGGAAAGUGGGAUUUAUUUUACCAUUCUGUAAUACCCUUUUGUUCCCCAACGUAAACAAUGUUAAUGCACCCCACAAUGGUACAAAAAUAUUCAUCAGAGUCCAUUUCUGUACCUUAAAAGGUAUAUUUAUCGAUAGCUAGGGUACAACUGGCAGCUCCUUGAGGUUACAGCCCCAGUAACAAGUAAUUGUACAUUCAAAACCACAAACUAGUACUUUUUUCUGAGUGCAUCAGAAGUGUUUCAGUACUAAGCAUACCUCUAUUUAUUAAUAAUAUAAUAAAAUAUAUAAAUACAGGAGUUUUAAAAUGCAGUGCAUUGCCACACCCGCACAACAAACCACUGUAAUCGGCGCAUGCUCCUUACCUACCUUUAAUAAAAGCACAUUACACUUCCCAAACAUCUGGAAGGGGAAAUUACAUGAUGCAAUUACAAUAUUCAAGUAAAAACUUCUUAGUAAGCUUACAGCAAACCCAUUUCAGAAAAAUGCAUAUGAAGGCCGAAAAACAUCCACUAUUAAAGGAGCUCUUCAGAAACAAGAAAAAUGGUGGAAUAUACUGAACCGAAAGCAGAGGGGCAGAGCGCCGUCAUUAAGGAAGCCAGGCGCUUAUCCAUUCUCAGCCCUUGAAUGGCUUAAUUACGACAAAGACCCACUUUUGGAGAUACCAGCCUCAGUUCUCUGCCAUGCGGGCCUCUGCUUCCAGGUCAGUUUGUCCAAAAUAGUUACUCACUUACAAACCACACGACUGUGAGAAUGAAAAAUAAGUAUAAUGUCAUUUGGUCAUCAUUACUGGUUGCACUAACUUUAGUAGUUUCUCUUUUUCUUACAACUCUCAUUAUAGCUCAUAUAAACCCCCUUGUUUUAGAAUCUCCACAAAGAAGUCAGAGAUCAUGACAAUCUGAGGCGAUUCUAGGGACUCUGGGGGCCUCCUCCAACACCCCCUCCUCCAACACCCACUCCUCCGCCAUGGUAAAAUGUGUUACCUUUACUGUACUGUGAAGUGCACAUUUAUAAUAUCAACAAAGAUAAUUUAAUAAACACAAGACCUUUAUUUUCACUUCUGUGAAAAACAGAGCAUACAAACAGAUUUGUCGUCGCGAUGUACUAUGUAAAUCAGCGGCCCUCAGGGGGCCCUCCCAGCCUGGGCCCCCAGGCCAUUGCCUGCCCUGCGUGUCCUGCCAUCGCACCUCUGAUGACAACACGCACAGAUGUAGAGCAGGUGCCUCCAUGCCUGGGUGCGGUUUCUGCCGGCCACUUCCUCGCAUCCCGGCCUUUCUGCAGAACUAUUGUGUUCGAGGCCGGCUUACUCAUAUUCCGAUUUUCCAUUGUGCAGAUCAUAAAGCUCUCAGUUUACUCCUGUUCCCGCUUCUGCCCCUUUGCAUCUGUAAUUAAAGUUCCUUUUAACCACUGCAAACCAUCUUUGCAGUUCUUUUACAAAUGUCAUAGUAGUCUCUGAUACACUCAUGGAAUUAUGAAACUUGAUGGACAUGUCUGGUGAUCCAUUAAAGAAUAAAAUUUAACAAAAAAAAUAAACCCCCCUUGCAAAAAAUGUAUGAAUGUUGCUGUCAAAUUGUAAUUUUUUAAACUUGUGUGUGUGAUGAAUAACAUGUUAAUUCCCAGUAAAAGUAAUUUGAAUCUAAUCGCGUCAACGUUCAUGAGAUGUUCCGAAUCUGUGAGACUGAAGUUCCGAGAAUCCAGUAAACGGACCAUCUUAAACUGUGAGUGCAUGGAGCAGCUUGGUGUGGCAGUGGGUAGCACUGUUGUCUCACACCUUCAAGGUUGUCGGUUCAAAUCCCACCCGUGUUUUCUGAGCGUGGAGUUUGCAUGACUCCUCAUACUAUUCCGGUUUCCUUUCACAAUCCAAAGACAUGUAUUUACUGGUUUCUCACAGCAUUGCACAUAGCGUGUGAGAGUGUCCUAACAUCCCUUAGGGCUUCUGCCCUACCCUGUGCCUUAUUCUGCUUGGGAUAAGCGCUAGAUGGCUACAACUCUCAACUGGAAAUGUCUGAGGAAGACGGAUGGAUGGAUGGAAGAGCCGAUGACUGGAAGCGCUGACUGGGGUAUUAAGAAGAGGGCGAUUCAUUCAAUUAACAAAAUCCUUAAGUAUUUCCCUAAAGUAUUAUAAAUCCUCAUCAUUCAGGAGAUGUGGGUGCGACCCAACAGGAUAUCAGCUCAUCCGCUGUGCAUUGCGAGGUUAACACCCCUUCUGCUGGCAGAGAAGAACUGGGGGACUUUCCAUGUUCCGCCUUCUCAUUUCAUUUUUAGCACUGAUUCAUAGGCAUGCUGCUUAAGGACAAGGUAAUCCCAUUAAGGCCAAGGAUGGGAAACAGCACGGCUCGAGGGCAAGGAUCUCACAGCUCCCAGAGCAACCUCGGAUUGAGCAACGUUCUGAAUGACAGAUGCUGAUUUGAGGAAGAGCUCUGAUGAAGUGCUUUCUUACCCGUGAGAUCACUGGAGUCACAUGGUGUCACGACUGUCAGGUCUUUCACCAAACUGCCUCCCGUUCUCCCCUGGGAGUCUGCUAGGAGACCCCGAGGAGAGACCCCUGACACAGCAUAAUACAGCGUGAAAUGAUCACAGGACCCUCCUGACUCACCGCUACAGGGAUGGCUGUUUUGCUACAUCAGAGAUGCACACGAUGGUGACGUCUGACAUGCUACCUUACAGAGAUGCACACGAUGGUGACGUCUGACAUGCUACCUUACAGAGAUGCACACGAUGGUGACGUCUGACAUGCUACCUUACAGAGAUGCACACGGUGGUGACGUCUGACAUGCUACCUUACAGAGAUGCACACGAUGGUGACGUCUGACAUGCUACCUUACAGAGAUGCACACGAUGGUGACGUCUGACAUGCUACCUUACAGAGAUGCAAUGGCACCACAGAUCAGCCUCAAGUGAAAUCACCUGAAAGUCGUUUUCAACUCUUUAACUUACUUCAUGGGGACUUUGGGACAGGGCAGCCCUGUACUUUAACUGAACAAUACACUGGAUUUUAAAGUCAAGUCAAUGCGGAAGAAGAAGCGGCCAAACUGAAACCGAUGAAAAUAAGCUAGUCCAGAGCAUGCUUCAAGUGAACCAAUAUGCUCCUGGAGUGCAGGGCAUGUCUCAAGUGUCGAACUAUAUAACUGUGUUUCCCUUUCAUCUCAGCCGAGAGAGACUUUGGGGAGAGAGAGUACUUUACAAGAGAAUAAGUUAUUAUAAAGCUGAGUCCAUCCAAGAGGGCGCAGGGGGUAAGUAACCAAGCCAAAACUCCUGAACAGCCUUCAAAUUUACAGCACGCACACACACACACACACACACACACACACACAUGCACACAGAAGAAUGACUUGUACCCCCGCCGUGUUCCUGCUCAUCACAAAGUGCGAGCACUUGACUGACGGCACACGUGCCACUUCGGUCCGAGUCUUAGUAGCGUCUUCGAUGGCGAGUAACUUGAGCAGCGUUCUGUCCCGUCCCGGAAUCAGUGAUCUGAUAAACGAGCUCGACUAAAGGUCACCACUAAUGGAGGCUUUAAAAGGGAUCACUGGCUUCUUUUUUAGAUAGAAAUUCACCGUCACUGAUAGAGAAUCCAUCCAUCCAUCAAUCCAUUUUCCAAACCGCUUAUCCUACUGGGUCGCGGGGGGUCCGGAGCCUAUCCCAGAAGCAAUGGGCAUGAGGCAGGGAACAACCCAGGAUGGGGGGCCAGCCCAUCGCAGGGCACACUCACACACCAUUCACUCACACAUACACACCUACAGGCAAUUAGCCCCAGCAUGUUUUUGGACUGUGGGGGGAAACCGGAGUACUCGGAGGAAACCCCACGACGACAUGGGGAGAACAUGCAAACUCCGCACACAUGUGACCCAGGCAGAGACUCGAACCCAGAUCCCAGAGGUGCGAGGCAACAGUGCUAACCACUGCACCACCAUGCCGCCCCACUGAUAGAGAAUCAAUUCCACAAAUAGAUUUGUCAUCCAAAAAAAAAUUCCCGUAUGUUAGAUCAGCUUGCAUACAAACAGAACACACUCACAUCCAUGUACAUACAUGCAUACACACCCGCAGACACACAUAUAUACAGAUUACCAGUUUUUCCCCCACUCACGACAGAAUAAAUAUCGAUAAUGAAAAAUAAUGUGACAUCAACAACAGCACACAAUGCAGCACAAAACAAUGUUGAAAGUGAAACAUGUGUUCUGAUCACAGAGAUUACGGAUUGGAAGAUUGUGAUGUCACGUCUGUAACUGGAUACUAUUGAAAUUUUCCAUAUAUGUCACAUAGUGCGACUAAUGACCCGAGUCAUAAAUUGUGUGCAUUCAGCGUCAUUGUGCGAGAUCUUUAAGCGUAUAGCCAGUUCAGUGCAGCUUUUCCACUUGCCCCCCCGAUGUGGGUCAGAUGGAAGUGGCACAGGCGGACAUCAGAGGGACGCCUCUAUUUCCCACAGGAAGGGAGCAGUCAUUUCCACAACAAAAUCAACACGAAAAGGGAAAACGGCAACUUGUUAAAUCCUGGGGUCUGUCAGAAGCUCCACUGCGGAUUCAAGUGUUUGUUCGUCAAACUCCAGCCAAACCAGAUGUGCCUGGUUUUAUUAUGGGUCUUGGCCAUCGCAUGUGCUUCACAUAGCCCGAGGCUUAUAUAAUAGGGUUUGGCUCGAAAUUAUGGAUUUGAUGACAAGCUGUUUGCUCACAGGGCCCUGUUGCAUCCUAUAAUCAUGACAAGGACUCAAGGCUGACAAACUCUGUGUAAAUGCCACAUCUAUGCACACAAAAUGGUGGGAAAGCAAAUGCUAAUCUGCCGCAUCAGUUCCCUUCAGAUGAGCUUUUGCUUGGCAUUAUGCAGCCCGAUCUUUUCCUGGUGGCGUUUUGAUGAGAGACACUGAGGGGUAAUUAUGUCAUGCCACUCUUUAGAGGUCGCACAAGUAGAUUCUGCUGGCUUCGGAUCAAACCAGAGAGAAUGUUCAUUCAUAUACACACAAACAAGAUUAAAUAAAAUGAAAUAAAAUAGGUUGAAAACCCAUCUGC